rnacentral:rRNA from 1 species
ACACUCCUGCGGGAGGCAGCAGUGGGGAAUUUUGGACAAUGGGCGAAAGCCUGAUCCAGCAAUGCCGCGUGAGUGAAGAAGGCCUUCGGGUUGUAAAGCUCUUUUGUCAGGGAAGAAACGGUGAAAGCUAAUAUCUUUUGCUAAUGACGGUACCUGAAGAAUAAGCACCGGCUAACUACGUGCCAGCAGCCGCGGUAAUACGUAGGGUGCAAGCGUUAAUCGGAAUUACUGGGCGUAAAGCGUGCGCAGGCGGUUUUGUAAGUCUGAUGUGAAAUCCCCGGGCUCAACCUGGGAAUUGCAUUGGAGACUGCAAGGCUAGAAUCUGGCAGAGGGGGGUAGAAUUCCACGUGUAGCAGUGAAAUGCGUAGAUAUGUGGAGGAACACCGAUGGCGAAGGCAGCCCCCUGGGUCAAGAUUGACGCUCAUGCACGAAAGCGUGGGGAGCAAACAGGAUUAGAAACCGGGUAGUCCCA